GAACCAGUACCGUGAGGGAAAGGUGAAAAGCACCCCGGAAGGGGAGUGAAAUAGAACCUGAAACCGUGUGCUUACAAGUAGUCAGAGCCCGUUAAUGGGUGAUGGCGUGCCUUUUGUAGAAUGAACCGGCGAGUUACGAUUUGAUGCAAGGUUAAGCAGUAAAUGUGGAGCCGUAGCGAAAGCGAGUCUGAAUAGGGCGUUUAGUAUUUGGUCGUAGACCCGAAACCAGGUGAUCUACCCUUGGUCAGGUUGAAGUUCAGGUAACACUGAAUGGAGGACCGAACCGACUUACGUUGAAAAGUGAGCGGAUGAACUGAGGGUAGCGGAGAAAUUCCAAUCGAACCUGGAGAUAGCUGGUUCUCUCCGAAAUAGCUUUAGGGCUAGCCUCAAGUGAUGAUUAUUGGAGGUAGAGCACUGUUUGGACGAGGGGCCCCUCUCGGGUUACCGAAUUCAGACAAACUCCGAAUGCCAAUUAAUUUAACUUGGGAGUCAGAACAUGGGUGAUAAGGUCCGUGUUCGAAAGGGAAACAGCCCAGACCACCAGCUAAGGUCCCAAAAUAUAUGUUAAGUGGAAAAGGAUGUGGCGUUGCCCAGACAACUAGGAUGUUGGCUUAGAAGCAGCCAUCAUUUAAAGAGUGCGUAAUAGCUCACUAGUCGAGUGACACUGCGCCGAAAAUGUACCGGGGCUAAACAUAUUACCGAAGCUGUGGAUUGUCCUUUGGACAAUGGUAGGAGAGCGUUCUAAGGGCGUUGAAGCAUGAUCGUAAGGACAUGUGGAGCGCUUAGAAGUGAGAAUGCCGGUGUGAGUAGCGAAAGACGGGUGAGAAUCCCGUCCACCGAUUGACUAAGGUUUCCAGAGGAAGGCUCGUCCGCUCUGGGUUAGUCGGGUCCUAAGCUGAGGCCGACAGGCGUAGGCGAUGGAUAACAGGUUGAUAUUCCUGUACCACCUAUAAUCGUUUUAAUCGAUGGGGGGACGCAGUAGGAUAGGCGAAGCGUGCGAUUGGAUUGCACGUCUAAGCAGUAAGGCUGAGUAUUAGGCAAAUCCGGUACUCAUUAAGGCUGAGCUGUGAUGGGGAGAAGACAUUGUGUCUUCGAGUCGUUGAUUUCACACUGCCGAGAAAAGCCUCUAGAUAGAAAAUAGGUGCCCGUACCGCAAACCGACACAGGUAGUCAAGAUGAGAAUUCUAAGGUGAGCGAGCGAACUCUCGUUAAGGAACUCGGCAAAAUGACCCCGUAACUUCGGGAGAAGGGGUGCUCUUUAGGGUUAACGCCCAGAAGAGCCGCAGUGAAUAGGCCCAAGCGACUGUUUAUCAAAAACACAGGUCUCUGCUAAACCGUAAGGUGAUGUAUAGGGGCUGACGCCUGCCCGGUGCUGGAAGGUUAAGAGGAGUGGUUAGCUUCUGCGAAGCUACGAAUCGAAGCCCCAGUAAACGGCGGCCGUAACUAUAACGGUCCUAAGGUAGCGAAAUUCCUUGUCGGGUAAGUUCCGACCCGCACGAAAGGCGUAACGAUUUGGGCACUGUCUCAACGAGAGACUCGGUGAAAUCAUAGUACCUGUGAAGAUGCAGGUUACCCGCGACAGGACGGAAAGACCCCGUGGAGCUUUACUGUAGCCUGAUAUUGAAAUUCGGCACAGCUUGUACAGGAUAGGUAGGAGCCUUUGAAACGUGAGCGCUAGCUUACGUGGAGGCGCUGGUGGGAUACUACCCUAGCUGUGUUGGCUUUCUAACCCGCACCACUUAUCGUGGUGGGAGACAGUGUCAGGCGGGCAGUUUGACUGGGGCGGUCGCCUCCUAAAAGGUAACGGAGGCGCUCAAAGGUUCCCUCAG
rnacentral:rRNA from 1 species